rnacentral:piRNA from 1 species
UNGAUUGGUACUAGGCCUGGUGUAGAUGA